AUUGAACGCUGGCGGCAGGCCUAACACAUGCAAGUCGAACGGUAGCACAGAGGAGCUUGCUCCUUGGGUGACGAGUGGCGGACGGGUGAGUAAUGUCUGGGAAACUGCCCGAUGGAGGGGGAUAACUACUGGAAACGGUAGCUAAUACCGCAUAACGUCUUCGGACCAAAGUGGGGGACCUUCGGGCCUCACACCAUCGGAUGUGCCCAGAUGGGAUUAGCUAGUAGGUGGGGUAAUGGCUCACCUAGGCGACGAUCCCUAGCUGGUCUGAGGGGAUGACCAGCCACACUGGAACUGAGACACGGUCCAGACUCCUACGGGAGGCAGCAGUGGGGAAUAUUGCACAAUGGGCGCAAGCCUGAUGCAGCCAUGCCGCGUGUAUGAAGAAGGCCUUCGGGUUGUAAAGUACUUUCAGCGGGGAGGAAGGCGUUAAGGUUAAUAACCUUGGCGAUUGACGUUACCCGCAGAAGAAGCACCGGCUAACUCCGUGCCAGCCGCCGCCGUAA
rnacentral:rRNA from 1 species